CGCCAGAGCAUAUAAACGCAUGGCAGCGGUUGAACUGGGGUUUUUGCCCCUUAAGUUGUGUCUUGUCGCAACAGUUCGGAUAUCAAAUGUCGAAAACGCGUAUACAAAAAGAAAGAAAAAAAACAAAAACAAAAACGAACAAAUACAGUGGUAUUCAGGAUGUGGAAGAUUUACUGGAUUAUGUGCGGCUUCGAGAGAGUUACUGGGGGCUUAUUAUCUGAAAAACCAGAUAACGACCUCUUUUUGUGGACACUGGUGAAAAGGAGAACGAGACAAAACCAGGUACGUAUGAAUUAUUCAUCUCUUUACAUGGCAAUUCCUGGACUAGUUCUCACAUGUACACUAUAUGGUUUUGAGUGAAAAAUCCAACUACAUGUUUCUCUAGUAAUGGUUUUGAAUGUUGGUUUCAUAAACCCAUUUCAGAAUUUCCACUUGAUGUGGAUUAUAUCCUACAAACUUAAGUAGCAUACCAUUUUAUUUGUAAUAACUCCAAGGUAAACAAGUCAACAUAAUUCAAACAUACUAGCAAAUAUCUUCUAGUAUAUAAAUAUGUAAUGUCACCAUUGUUUAACCCCUUAUUCCAUACAAUGUGAUGAAAUGCCCCACCAUAAGGGUUCUUCAAUGUAUAUGCUUGUUCAUGAAAUUAAUAUUCUCUGGAGUGGAAAAGUGACAACUAGCCCCAGUCACCCCUUUACUAUAUUUGAAUGUCUUUUCUUCCACAGUACAUAAUGAUUGUUCUUUUGUGUUAUUCGAGACGACAUUGAAGAAGGUCAAACAUUCAAAUCUGCUGCGGAUCUAAUAAUUCAGCCCGAAUCACACAUUGCUGCACCGAAAGAUGUCUUGGCAUUCCAGCAACCCAAUGCUAAAAAGCUGCGUCGCAUGGCAGAGAAAGCAGCCAAGUUGGUGGCCAUGGGUCUGUUGCCACGGAGAGAAAACUUCAACUCUGCAGGGCUGCUGUUGCGGUGCCUGUUAAAGAACAUUCAGUGGCCAAUAAUAAUUCAGAAAGGGCCUUUUAUGAGCUGUGGAGUUCAAGUUGUUCCAGGCUCCUGAUGUAGAUGUGCAGCUGAGUGAUGAGCUCGCCUGCUCUCUACACAGUCUGAAGCCAGAGGGCAGCAUCCUCAAAGACCGAUUUGAGAGUUUACAGAAGAGAAACCUGAUUGAGCCCAGAGAGAGCCAAAUUUAAGAGGAUGUACAAGCUGAAGUACACCGAAAAGAGAGCCUUCAGAUAGAUAAAGUGACCUUCACCUUCCAAUCAUCCUACAAUGGAACGGACUGCAAAACAUGAGUCAACAAAUAAUAUUGUGCUGUUCAUAAAACAAUAAAAAAUAAAGCUGUCAUGUCCACUUGAUAAACCCUUGCCUUAAUUUUGUUUAGAAAAAUCCAUUUGCAGGCCUUAUUUGGCUGUCUCACAACAGUAUGUUUUAUAUCCUUGACAUGCGUGUUCACUAGUUUAUCCCAAGACACCAGUUCAGUGUGCUUAAAAGUGAAGUGUUAUUUCUGUGCCACUAGCCUCACCAAACGGAGUUGCAAAAGUAAUAACCAGUUUCCCAAACACCCUUGUAUUCCAUUGGUCAGGCACACAGAUAUUCCCACCCUGAACUCGUGCCAUGGGUUGAGGCAAUGUUGCUGAAAUGGCAACAUAGUUCAAACUUUAGUGUUUUGAUUUAGCCAGUGUUUGAAGUUUUUGGGAGAAUCAACCAAUGAAUGGCUUACUUAUAGUUUUAUGCUUAUUAAGCGAAGUAUUUUAACAUCCAAGAAAAUGAUGCUCUUCAACUGUCAUACUGCCAGAUUGUGUAAACCAACCGUGCAAAGCAAUGUGCAGUCAGCUUUGAUUCUUUAACUCAAAAGCUUCAGGUUUUGGUUUGAGCUUCAGCCAUCGCCUAAUCCAGAUCCCCUGCCUGCCAAACUGUUGGGCUUAAAUUAAGGCGAUUAAUGUCCAAUAUUUAAUUGCAAGUUUAAGAACUUAAUUUGUUUGUGA